AUGAAGAGGGAGAAGGGG
rnacentral:misc_RNA from 1 species